rnacentral:rRNA from 1 species
UACGUAGGGUGCAAGCGUUGUCCGGAAUUAUUGGGCGUAAAGAGCUCGUGAGGCGGUCUGUCGCGUCUGCUGUGAAAACUCAGGGCUUAACCCUGAGCUUGCAGUGGGUACGGGCAGACUAGAGUGCGGUAGGGGAGACUGGAAUUCCUGGUGUAGCGGUGAAAUGCGCAGAUAUCAAGAGGAACACCUGCGGCGAAGGCGGGUUGCUGGGCCGACACUGACGCUGAGGCGCGAAAUGCUAGGGGAGCGAACGGG